AUUGAACGCUGGCGGCAUGCUUUACACAUGCAAGUCGAACGGUAACAGGCCGCAAGGUGCUGACGAGUGGCGAACGGGUGAGUAAUGCAUCGGAACGUGCCCAGUCGUGGGGGAUAACUACUCGAAAGAGUAGCUAAUACCGCAUACGAUCUAUGGAUGAAAGCGGGGGACCGUAAGGCCUCGCGCGAUUGGAGCGGCCGAUGUCAGAUUAGGUAGUUGGUGGGGUAAAGGCUCACCAAGCCAACGAUCUGUAGCUGGUCUGAGAGGACAACCAGCCACAGUGGGACUGAGACACGGCCCAGACUCCUACGGGAGGCAGCAGUGGGGAAUUUUGGACAAUGGGCGCAAGCCUGAUCCAGCAAUGCCGCGUGCAGGAAGAAGGCCUUCGGGUUGUAAACUGCUUUUGUACGGAACGAAACGGCUCUGGUUAGUACCCGGGGCUAAUGACGGUACCGUAAGAAUAAGCACCGGCUAACUACGU
rnacentral:rRNA from 1 species